rnacentral:rRNA from 1 species
GACGAACGCUGGCGGCGUGCUUAACACAUGCAAGUCGAACGGGCCUUGUCCCCUUUUUUUUGGGGGUGGGGUUAGUGGCGAACGGGUGAGUAACACGUGAGUAACCUGCCCCUCACUUCUGGAUAACCGCUUGAAAGGGUGGCUAUUACGGGGUGUUCUGGCCUGCUCGCAUGGGUGGGUUUGGAAAGAUUCGACCGGUUUUGGUUGUUUUGGUGGGGGAUGGGCUCGCGGCCUAUCAGCUUGUUGGUGGGGUGAUGGCCUGCCAAGGCUUUGACGGGUAGCCGGCCUGAGAGGGUGGGCGGUCACACUGGGACUGAGACACGGCCCAGACUCCUACGGGAGGCAGCAGUGGGGAAUAGUGCACAAUGGGCGAAAGCCUGAUGCAGCGACGCCGCGUGAGGGAUGGAGGCCUUCGGGUUGUGAACCUCUUUCGCCAGUGAAGAAGGUCCUGCUCUUUGUGGUGGGGUUGACGGUAGCUGGGUUAAUGAAGCGCCGGCUAACUACGUG